AGUGCUAGAAUUACAGAUGUAAGCCACCAUGCCUGGCCAUAAUGAUUCUGUUUAAAAGAACUGAAAAUAACUGAUUUCUGUCCCCUACAGGGAGAAUAGCUCUCACUUGUUUCCAUGACUGCUUCCGCUUUUGCCACCAUCACGAUUUAGCAAGAAAUCUGAAGCUUGGGCCGUGUCUCUAAAACACAUUGUGUUGCAGAGCCAAGAAGCAGCUGGCCAUGAGGUCUACAGAGCACAGAGCAGACCGUGCUGCUUCAAAAUACACGAACAAAAUGCUCGCGUUAGAGGUUCAUUACUUGGAGCUUUAGAAGUGGUUUGGUUAUCAGGAAUUUUCUGCAGAAAAUAUCGAAACUCCUGGGAGGAAGAAAACUUUAAGUUAUCUCAUAGCUCAGCAAAGACGAACUGACAGUCAGCUAUGCUAAAACCAGGGGAAAUCACAGCUGAGGUGGGAGGACCUGAGCAGCAGGGCGAGAAGCAGUCCUAGGGCAGGGGAGGCAACAGGACAGGAGAGACGCCUCACCCCCUUUGCAGGGUGAGGUUCCCAGGUCCUGCCAUACCCCUAAUGCUCCUAGGACACCAAGCCAGGUUUAGAGGCCCCUGGAGCUGGAGAGAAGAGGAUGAGCUGUGUGUCCUGGGGUAAGAUGGCCCCUGUGCCCUGUUCCACCUGCUAGUUACCCAUGGCCACGGGCUUUUUUCCUUCUGCACACCCCUCUCAUGGCAACUUCAACACUGACAAGUGUAGGGAAGAAACGACCAUGGCCUCUUAGUGGGGAAGACCCUGUGUGUAAGGUCACAAGCCAAAUGCCACCUUGCCAUCAGCAACCCUAAUGUGUUGCUUUUCUUACCUUGGGCAUUUGCAGUAGGGAGACUGGUUUUAUAACACACUCACUCACGGUCUGUCUCCCUACUUCAUGAGAAGCCCCUUCAGAAUUCAGAUGGUUUUCACCCCUCAGUUCUCAUCAGGGGACCCACAUGAUGUUUAGUGGGAUGAAUACAUUGGAAUCUGGGGCUCUGUUUUCCUCUGCAUGUAAGUGACCCUGUCACUUGCUAACAGUGGUUGAAAGCCAUUCCAUGGCUGCUGUGGCCAGUGAGGAGGGUUCUGAGGACUGAGGCAGGCAGCAGGGUGAGACUUCAGGUGUGGGCUAGGAGCCCCGGCAUGGCAGUGAGCAGCUCCCUAUCUCCUGGGAAGAAGAAACCUGGCUCCCACCUGCUGCCCUCCUCUUACCUGCUCCCUACAGAGCGCUGUGCCAGCCCUGAGCAUGCCCCCAGUACCAUUCUCAGUAAGCCCAGAACACAAAGGCCUCUUCAUGUUCAUUUUUGAAAAAAUUAAUUUUCCUAGGAAGGGCUGGUGAAGAAGGCGACACCUUUAUGCUCUCCUAUCUUUUGCAGGGCUGGUCACAGCCGUGCGGUGGUAGAGGUACUCUCCCGGCCACCCUCCGUGAUCAGCCUUAACCCUUGCACCUACUGACCUCUAGCUCCUUCACACACUGUCUGUGACCCAGACCCACCUCAAAGUCCUUCUGCCUCAGUGUAAUGCAUCUUAUUCUACAGCCUGCAUUUCCAAUACACAGCACACACACACACCCAGAAGCCAUCUCAGUAGUUAGCCUGCAUGGUUUCACAGAGAACGACCACAGGCACAAUUAGGCAUUGAAGAAAAGCUCUCCGAUGAUGCCGCUGAUUUGGCUGAAAUCCCUCAAGUCUGAUGAUAGCACUGAGAUACCAACCAGUCCACGAAAACAACUGACUGCUGCAUCUUGGGUGAGUGGGUGGUGUACUCGGGUGGAGGCUGCCUGGGUCUUGGGUCUCUGAUGAGAAGGGUUUUACACCAACGCAGCAGCCCUUGAAAUUAAUUUUCUAUUAAAAUCUAAGCCUCUCAGUCUGAUAAACAAACUGCACAUUUACUGUGGAUUCUGUAUCUGACCUUUUACCUGGUUUUGUCAACAAAAUUUACUGUAUUCAUAAAUACUAAUGUUCUCAUUUGGUUCCCUAUCUUUAGUAUACUGUAAAUUAUAAGCAAGUACAUAAAUGUCUUGGCCUGGUAAUAUAGUGGCCUGAAAUGACUUCCUUUUUCCUUUAAAGAUGUUGCAUAUUUUAAUGGUAGGUGUUUUUAAUUAACUUGAAGUGCCAUAAACUGCCCAUGUAUGAACAAAGACAAGUGAGUUGCAUUAAAUUAAAAGUGCUGUAUCUGACUAAUGUUAACAAAUUAGGCAUGCCUUCAAGAUGCACAAUUUCUGUUUGGAGUUGUCAUCUUAAUGCAGAGAUACCAAAGCUCUGAGAAUAGCCACACCAAAUGAGCCUUUCAAAACUAAUAUUUUGGGCAAUCAAUUAGGAAUAUGAUUUCAAGCUUUAAAAAGAUUCCCACUCGGGCAUCUCAACAUAGCAUCCCUUCUCUUUUUCCUUCAUAAAUGAGCUCAAUUUGGGGAUCUGAUCUUUUUGCCAAUAUCAGUCCAAAUUAGCACUGUAAAUAUUGAAAUCAAAUGUUACUACUUGGCCUAAUUUUCUUUCAGCCUGCAGUUAAUCUUUAUUCAGCCUUAAUGAGUAUUUAUUGUGUGACCCUGACAGCUUGCUACUGCUGUGAUAAAUUAUCUGACUCAAGUCCGAUUAAAAAUGCAACCCUGAGUGCUAAUUAUCUCAACAGACCUGCUUAAUAAUAGCAUUUCUUGUCAAUUAUGGAAUCUCAGCAUGGGUGUCAAUAGCAACAAAUGCACAGGCCUACCUUGGACACUGACUUCCCAUAAUGCCCUUUUACUUGCCAUAUGUAAAUCAGAGUGCUUCUGUACCUGUGAUGACCUUUUAUUAGCAAACUGUCAAAAUGAUAAAACUAGCCAUAGCAAAACCCCCACCACCAUACAAUUAGGGGCUACAGCUUAGGACAACAGGAGGGCAAUCAGACACAGCUAAUUAUGAUGCAUCUUACUUAUGGCCUGUCCAGCAGGAAGAAUGAGCUGUUUUUGAAAUUUAUGCCAGCUUCAGCAUGGCCCUCAGGAGGGGAGCUGCUGGCAAGUGGGUUAAGGGGGAGGGGAGAGGCAAGGAACUGCGUAUUUCUACAGUUUUUCUGGGAAUCUGGAAUUCAGUCACUUGCUGUGUGACACUGAAUAAAUCACUUCAUCAGAAAAAUGGAGGCAACACCAUUCACCUCAUUGGGGGCUAGGUGAGUGAGGGGAAUGGAAGGUAACAAACGUAGAAACACCUAGCACAGUGCCAUCCCAUAGAAGGUGCUGAAUAUCUGCUCCCUUUCUUCCCAUUCACCUUUUCCUUUCCUAACGAUCAAGAUAGCAGACAACAACAGCUAGAAGUACCAUUUAUGGAGCUCUUGCACGUACCCUGCACAAUGUCUUAUACGCAGCCUUCCUCCUUCACCCCUGUGGUCAGAACUGAUGAGAACAGUGGAGCCGAAAGCUACCCUACCCAGAUCAUUUAGUGCAGUCUCCCCUUUGUAGGUACAAAUGUCUUAAAGAAUUCAAAGGCAAACACGACUCUCUUCUCAAAGGGUUAUCUAAGUCAAACAUUUUGCAACCUGCUUUGCUAAUAGCAAAUGGAGUAGUAUGUAUUUAAUUGAGCAAUAACUACAUGCCAGUCACCAAGGGGAGUGCUUCACAUCCCUGUAAGGUGGCUACUCUUAGCAUCUUCCCUCUGGAGACUAGGAAAGAAGAAAGGUUAAACGACUUGUGUGACAUCCGCAACUCGAAAGUUUCAGAGCCCAGGCUUGAGCUAGAGCCAAAUACCCACUUCUCAAAAUAGGAAAGCAAUACAUUUAAAUUACCUCCACAAACGCUUUUAGUAGAAAAAGACAGGGUGACACAGGCCUGAGAAUGUUCCCGAUGCCGUUAUCUGUUAUGUGGCACUCUAACGAUAAGGAACAAUGAACAAUACGUGCCUUUUGGGCUCUCUGCUGUGACAGACCACAAAGGCAGCAGGGCAGGAGGCAGGUCUGAAACAUAAGCCUUGGUUUUCUCAUGGGGCAAGGGGUGCUGGGAGUGAAGUAAGAUGAGGCAGUAUUUGGUCACAUGACCUCAACCAUUAUCAACCUUGGGUGGUAAUUUAUGGGGCUCUAACCUCCUCUGGCUUAAUCCAGAGAGGCUUGUUUUUCAAGAUGAAGCAAUUCUGUCACAUCAAGGCAUUCCUGCCUCACCUGCCCACCUUGCCCAGGCCAACCUGACAAGAACCCGGAAUACAGCAGGGUUCUGAGCAUAACUUGAAGCAAUAUCCUCAGAUACAGUUCUGAAUUUUCCCAGAUUGGAAGGGCACUGUCUCAAGUGAACCCCUAUUAAAACACAGAUGUUCACAUCCCCUACAUCCGGACUGCCCGGCCUAGGCAGACAGAACACAGAAUCCAUCCUGUUCUGUAAGGGGCAAACGGCAUUUCCCUCGUGGCCACACCCAGGUUGUGAUAAGGAUGAGGGUCGUGGGAAACAAUGCAGGGAAAGGAGGGUAGUGUAGACGCCUCCACUGCUAGCUAGAGGCCGCGCUACAUGGCUAAUGAAGCCCAGAUGCUGGUCUCUCAGUGACUGACCCGGGGAGAUGCGAGAAAGGAAUGCGAUCAUUUCCGUCUGAAGUAACGUGCUCCCUCUUCCCUAACACCUCGGGCCCACUUCAUUACUUCCUCCACAGAUGAUCUCAAAUUGGGAAGCCAAUCCUUCCCCUGGAAAUGAUGCCAAGUUAGUGCCACGAGGGUGUAAAUCAAGUGUUUCAUGAACACUGUGUGGGCUAAUUUCUUUCCAGGGGUACUCAAGUCAGACAUCUCCCUCUCAUGAGCAUUCGCUGCUUUCCCAUAAAGUGAGCCUGCCUGUGCUUCCUUUGAUGAGUGCUGCUAAUUGUCAUUUGGGGUGAGCUCCAAAGCUCUUUCUCUAGGGCAUUAGCUGAGAGUUAAUGCGUUCCACAGAGAUAUCUGGGGCCGUGUUCAACAUUCCUGACGCUUCUUAUCACCCUGUUCUUUCAAGGUAAACCCAGAUUUCUGCCGGGAAUAAAGGCUUGUGGGUUUAAGUCUGUCUCCUGAUUUUCAUACUUUGAUUCCUGACACAAAGCAAUGCCGAUGUGGAAAUUAUUUUGUACCACAUUUCCUCCUUGGCGUGUCCUUCAACAGCCAUUCAAAUUCCACUGCGGUUUCACAGGAACUAUGGAAACAUGUCCUCUAUAGAAGUUUAGCAUGAAAGCUAUUACCCUACUGGGCAGUGCCCAAUGGUCCGACACUAUUUACAUUCCCUCUGAACACUAUUACAAAAGGAACUACAUCUUGCUGAACACUUUAGCAACAAGGAACAUAAUACAUGUGCCCGGUGUGCGGUUAGAUUCAUAGCUGUAGUCUCUGUAUUCCAAAUUGUUCUAUGCACGAGUCCAGUGUAAGAAAUAGCGUGUCUCAAUGGCUGUGUCUACAGUGCAUAAGGUCUUAAUAGCCUGUGCUUGCCUGAAGACCAAUCCCUUAAUUUUCUGGUGGUCUGACCAUUUGCCAUUUGGCUUCCUAUUUUGAAGAAUAUGCUUGUUGACACAUUUUACUGAAAAAUCAAGUAAUCUGAAAUACAAACUGUGACUCAAGUGGCGGACUAUAAUUUGUUUUGUAGGUGGGUGCCCAAUUUGAGCAGCUGUUAUCUACUUUUUUCAUUUUGUAAUGUUGACCAAAUCUUAAAAAAAUUUUGUUUCACAGUCCUGGUCUCAGGCCAACAAAAUAGUCCCUGGAACUUGACUGAAACAUAUGGAUGUGAGAUUUCUUUUUUUUUUUUUUUUUUUUUGGUAAAGUCAUGUUCUUCCAGAAAUUGUGCAGGGGUCACAUGAGAAUCUUGGGUGCUGCCACUUGCCUGACGCUGUUUCCACUAGCAACGAUCUUCCUGAAAACACAUGUCAGCAGUUAGCAAUCCAGCAGUAUGACUGAAGCCAGCCCUAGGGAGCUUCAUUUCUAUUUUGAGGCCUCACUGGGAUUCCAAGAGACAGAAAAAGAAUUUGGAUCCUUUGGUUUUGCAGGAAACUCCUUGCCUAAUUUAUAUUUCUCUAAGCCACACCCUGUUUGGAACCCUGUCAUCAGCUAUAUGGUGUGACUGAUAACACAUUUUGGAUUUCAAGAAAUAAUCUUUGACUCCUCUCCACUAUACAUUAUCAUCUUAAAACUAUCAUGAGACCCACAGGAAAACAGUUCUUCCAACUAGGAUCUUUGGAAAAGUGAUGCAGAACUUACUCUGGUACUUCUGGGGGUACUGAAGUAAAAAAAAAAAAUUUUAAAAAAACCUUGUUUCGACAGUGGACAACAGGACUCCAAGAUGGCAUCAGUCGUACCACUGAAGGACAAGAAACUUCUGGAGGUCAAAUGAGGAGAGCUGACAAGCUGGAUCUUGAUGUGGGACUUCAGCCCUACUGGCAUUGCUGGAGUGUUUCGAAGAGGUCACCACCAGUACUAUAACAAAUAUAUCAACGUGAAGAAGGGGAGCAUCUCAGGGCUUACCACGGUGCUGGCAUGCUACGUGGUCUUCAGCUACACCUUUUCCUACAAGGAGCUCAAGCAUGAGCGGCUCCACAGGUACCACUGAAGAAGAGGACACACUCUGCACUCCCCUCUACGACCUUCUUGGCUUGAGCCCCUCCAUAAGGAACACAGUCUCGAUCAUUGCUGAAUCAUUUCAUAUCCUAAUGGAAUUAACUUCCAAAUAAAAGAUGACUGGUAAAAAAAAAUCCCAAAAAAACAACAACAAAAAAAACUUGUUUCAGGGCUGGGGCUUAAGGACACCGCUGUUGGGCAAGCAGUUAGAAAAUAAAGUAAAUCCAGAAGCCGUGAUUUCAAGCAGAAUUGAGUGUGGGUGCUGGCUUUAUGAGGAUUAUGAUAGAGCUAGCAAGUAAGAUGUCCAGGAAAGCACAGCGGGGCAAGCUGUGCCCAGCACCAAUUUCCUGGACUAGGAAAAGCUGUCCUGAUCAUCCCCCUGAGUUUCAGUGCAGCACCUGCUGACUCCUGACCUUAGUGUGGGCCAGCAGGGUCCUCUGCACCUCUUCUCUAAGCCUCAGGCCUUGUGGGUCCCUAAAAUCAGAUAUUUUCAGUUUCUCCUCCUCCUCCUCUCUGAAAGUUACUACUACGUCCCACACCCAGGUCAAGUUACACCCGUCCAUUUUUAAUGGUUAUUUGAUUCCCUCCAGACCAGCAACCAAUACCUAUCAGGGGUUGUGGUUUGUCACCAUGCCUUUGCUGGGAGUUGUCAGAACCAGCUGCAUCAGCACUGCCUGGGCACUUGUUAGAAAGGCAGAAUCCUAGACUCUAUUGCCAGACCUGUGGGAUUUGUAUGCACUUGAAGUUUAAGAAGCACUGGUCUGAAAAUGAUAGGUCUUUCUUGAAAGUAACUUAUUUCUGAGAGUUCAUGAGUGAUCUAGGAUUCUGGGCCAAUUGACAGAAUAUUGACAAACAUAGCUGCCUUCUAAAACCUCAGAGGUGGAGUCUUCUUUCUGCAGGCAGACUCUGAUUUACAAUUUGACUUACAAUUUUUUUGACUUUAUGAUGGUGCAAAAGUAAUACACAUGCAAUAAAAAGAGUACUUUGAGUAUGCAUACAACCAUUUUGGUUUUCACUUUCAGUACAGCAUUCAACAAAUUAUUUAACCCUCUACUAUAAAAUAGGAUUUGUGUGAAUUGAUUUUGCCAGAAUAAAGGCUAAUAUAAGUGUUCUGAGGAUGUUUAAGGCAGGCUAGGCUAAGCUAUGAUGUUCGGUAGGUUAGGUGUAUUAAAAGCCUUUUUAAGUUAAUGUAUUUUUAACUUAUGAUGGGUUAUCAGGACAUAUCCCUAUUGUAAGUCAAGGAACAUCUGUAAUUGGAAAUCCAGGAGAUAGGUUUAAAUCUGUAGCAAAUUUAUUUUGUCUAAAAGAGAAAUAAAAUGUUUUGGUUACCACACACACCAAAUAAGAAUAUAUAAUUUUUGAACAAUUAACCUAAAGAAGAUAUAUCUAAUAAGCAAGCUGAAGGCACUUUGGGAUCUUCCAGUGUCUCAUAUUUAGCACCAGCUGACAGGGGCUGGGGCUAAAGCAGCCUUUGUUUUCACUGAAAUUCUACCGGAAAAAAGUUCUAGAGUCUCUAUGAUUCCCCCAAUGACCAACUGAGUUUCCCUGAAGUUUUGGAAUACUCAGUAUUCAGAGGGUUGUGAGUAGCUUCCAAAAAUAGAUUUCUGGGCUGCAUGUCAUCCCUAAUAGAACAGAAUCUCUAGAUGUUAGGGUAGGUAUUUGUGGUUUUAAAUCUCCCUAGUGACUGUGGAAGGACCACAAGUGGGAGCAAUUAUUCUAGGCCAAUGAGGUGUUCCAAAGGUGGCUUCCAUCUUAUGUUGCAGCUACAACUUCAAUCACAAACACAGAUUUAUACACAGAGAAUUUGAUGCUACAAGUCCUUGAACUUGUACCUACAUGUUUAGUAAACUACAGUGGUCUUUUAUUCCACUGAGGACAGCAUAUAACUGUAAUACGUAAAUAUAUGCUACCAACAAAUGCUACUGUCCUAAGGAGAAAAAAGAAUUCCAAGUGUUCUGAGUAGCUAUGCUAUGCCCACUGCAUUCAAUCAGAAAUGUUCCUAAAUUCUUUGUUUUCAAGCAAACUUGGCUAAAGUCUAGAUCAUUUUAUAGCGGAAUCAAAAAGCAAUUUGUUUUUCUUCUCAGAGGUGAAAAUAUAAAGCCUUUUAUCUGUUACAUAUGCCAUGAUAUCUAAAAAGCAGAUGAUAUUAUACAUUUUGAUUAUCUUCAAGAGUCGAUGUUUUUGUUUCUUUCUAAUAGAUUAUUUAAUUACUCUGCCAAAGAGUGCUCAUAAUAUCAUGUUUGCAAAAUAGCUUUAAAUGCUUUCAAAUACUGCCAAGAUGGAAAUAACUGAGUUAUUUUGCUUUCUGUGGACAGUUCAAUUUCAUUUCAUCUCUGAAUAUACUUUUUCUUAUGGAUUUAUAACUACAAUAGUGGCCAUCCAUAAAGAACAAUAUAAUAGGUACUAAUAAUCCGCCACUCACAGUCGUUCUGUUUUUGGUAUGUGUGGCUCACAAGAGCCUCUGCUAUUCCUUUCAAAUGAAUCUGCUUUCAUAUAGCAUUUAUUGCUUGACAUUUCACAUAAUUUAGUCAACACUCCUUAAUUUUUUCCCCUUUGAUCCAUACUUAUCUAUAAACCGACCAAACAAAAAAACUAUAAAAGUCUAAAUGUAGUGAAUUUCUCCUUUUUCCUCCCUUCUCCAUCUAUUUGGUUAUUUACAUCACUAGUGACAGACUAUAAUAAAUUGCCAUCACCAUCCACUCCUCACUGUGGAUCAAAGCUUUGGAGUGCUUGAUGAAAAUUUAUUAGACUUCUGCCUACUGAUUCCCACCUGGCUGCUCACCGCACCCUUGGCCAGCGCUGCCUUGAGCUGGCUGGAGACGGACACUCUGAUGACUAACAGCUGGGUGUCUCAGACAAGCCCUCUUUACCUCCAGCCUCCAUGCUUUCUUGCAUGCUUGCUUUCCCACUUCUCUUUCCUUAUCUUACACCUAGAUCUUUGGUCACAUCACGGCAGAGGCUGCCAAGUAUGUCAAAAAGAGGACAUGGGGGCGCAGGGGUGGGUGUGGCCUGCAGAUGGUCUAUGUGCUGUACCAGGCCACUGGAAGGUACUGCUGGACUGGUGAUAUUCGGGUCACUGAUGUGGGGUAGCCAGCCACUGAAAGGUCCUGGAGAGGCUGAAAAUCACAGGCCAUGCAGAGAGAAACUCUCUGAGGGGCUUUACUCUGGGAGAUUUAUAAGGCCCAGGGGUGUUUACAUCUGUGCUCAGUUUUGAGCAUUUUCCCGACUGCUUCAUGCCACAGUCCUCCAGCUUAUCACUGCAAACAUGACCAAAUAAAAACUACAUGUGGCAUUUGGUAUAACUUAUACAGAGGGGCAGCUGUUGCAUCCCCUUCACCUGAGGCUCAUCUAAUCAAACAAAUCUGGCAAGAAGGAUGACAGCCUUGAAGGUCCAAAAGCAGCAUUAUUUUUUUUCUGCAUUCCCUUUCCCACUAUGUAUGCCACAAUGUCUAUGGAAAAAGAGACCAAAUCAAAACCUUCUAAGAGUUGGUUGUGACUGUACCGACUUAGCAUUUGUAUACCCUUGUAUUUUCCGUCCCCUCUUCUGAAGAUUCACUUCAGGCAUAUGGGAGCACUUACAUCCAAAAAGUCAGGAACAGAAACACAGUGACCAUCUGUAUACUGAUAACCUACAAGGGUUUGCAGAUAGUUGCUAGCUCAUGUUUUUGGUGAUUAAAAAGAGAAUGGGGGCUCCUGGAUGUAAAAUAUCAUACGUGAAGGUAGCAUUUGAGUUUUGGAACUUUUUCACUUGGCUCAUUCCACAGUUGUGCAGCGUUCUACCCUAUGUCAGCAAUUAGAAAACUGAGGCAUUCACUUCACAGAUUUCUACCUGCCCUUAGAAGACAUCCAUUUUCAGUAUACCCAGGAUGUCCUGACGUAGCUAAAAUGUGCACCCACUAACUCACAAGGCUGCAAAGACGCCGAAUUCAGCAGGCCCUGCUGUCAGUCACACCCUCAUCCACAACAGCUGCUCUCAUCAGUUACAACCUUGGCAUCCCUGUCUAGAUGUUAUUGCCUGGACUCCUCCAAUUCCAUAGUCAUUCAGAUAAAUUCCAUAGAACAUUACUGACAUCUAGAUAUUGGGAGGCCAGGGAGAGUUGAGGCGAGAGAAAGGGACGAGUUGGGAAGGGAAGGAUCUGUGAUGCAAGGCAAUUGUCAACACAAGCAUUCCGGCUGAUCAUGCUGUUCCGUGGGCUCCGUUUGACCUCCACCAGCCUUUCCAUGGUCACGCCCUCCUGUCAUUCCCCAGUGUUUUCUUUUCCUGGGAAGCGGAGGCCUCCACACUGUCAGCCUUUAGAGUGCAUGUGUAGUUCCAGGACCCAAACUACAUGCAGUGAAGUGCUGCCUUGCCCAUACAUGAUGCUGACCUUCACCCUGUGGGUCUGAGCCACAAAGUGCGCUCUUGUGGUCAUUUAAACGUCUGCCUCCGGCUGGGCAGCUCACUUAAGGUGAGGAGUUUGAGACCAGCCUGGCCAACAUUGUGAAACCUGUCUCUACUAAAAAUACAAAAAUUAGCCAAGCAUGGUGGCAUGCGCCUGUAAUCCCAGCUACUUGGGAAGCUGAGGCACAAGAAUCGCUUGCAUCUGGGACGGGGAGGUGGCAGUGAAUCAAGAUUGCGCCAUUGCACUCUAGCCCAGGCAACAGAGCAAGACUCUGUCUCAAAAACUAAAUUGAUAAAUAAAAUAAACAGUCUGCCUCCUAGCCAAUGCUAAUCUUUAAGAAGCUGCCUCUCACAGGUCUGCCAGUCUCAAGUUUACCCUUCAUGAUCUCUCCACAGUCUUCUAACCCCCAACUUAGGAACUUCGCAGGAUUCCUGACUUCAGGGUUUCUUCCCUUUUACUAGACACUCAGCUUCAGACCUAAAUCAGAGAGACAAUUUCCCUGCUUUUCGCAAUACUUUUGAUACAAGCUCAUUCCACACUCCACCCCUCUUCGUAAAACACAGGCAUCAAUUCGAGCUUUGCAUUGGUUAACAUUUUCAAGGUUCGGCCUUUGCGGUACCAUCAUGAGCAUAUCAAAUGAGACGAUGUAUUCCAAAGUAUUUUGUAAUCUAUUAAGUAAUAUAGAAGUGGUUAGUUAGGUCGGCCAGAUACCAGGGCGUUAGGACUCUUUUCUUUGCAGAGUUGUUGAGGCUAUACAGCCUGAUGUCACAGCAGGAGUCUCGGCUGACACCCUAAGCAGUUGACAGUGAAUCACUUGCAGGACUAACUAUGCAGAGCUGCUUCAAACUCAAGAUGGCUCAGUGCCCUUAGGCACAACCAGAUCCAUUGCCUUGGAACGCCAUCCCUCCCAAGAGGGAUUGGGAUCAUCCAGUGGCCUUAUCUAGUUGACGAAAAUAGAUCUACAGAAGACUACCCAUGAACAGCCACUAUCACAUCCAUGGGACCUUUGAGUAGGUCUAGGUAGGCGUACACUUUACCAAAAACCAGGAUUCUUAUGACACCAGCCCUAAGGAUCUUCAACCUAUAAUAACUGAAAAACCAAAUGUCAAACACAGGUCUGGUCCUUAUGGAAGCCAUUCUAACUUUGAACCAAACUUGGUUAACAAAACUUGAAAUCUGUAUUGUCCAAGGGACCUACAGAGUGUCCAUUGUGUGCCAUGAGCUUGAUAUUUAGCCAAGUACAUUGCCUGCAUUGUACUACAAAAGACUACACCAAGCAGUUGGUCCUGAUGCUGGUGCUUAUACUCAACAAUUCUUCCAAAAGGCAGAGAACCAAAUAAGGAGGACAGAGCACUGGUCCCACACUAUGGGAAUAAGACAAAAAUACUGCUCAGGCAUCUCCUAGUUUUAGAAUCAACACAUCAGAAAAGACAUCUGGUAUAAGAAGAGAAAGACAGUGGGUUCGCCACACUGCUGACAUUAUACAGCCUCCCUCCUUUGCUGCUUCUGUGUCUUUCCACAGAUUGAAUUAUUGAGCAGAGCUGAAGGUUCUGUCUCCUUUCAUGCUCACUACAUUCCCUCCUAUAGAAAAACUACAAAAGCCUACUCUUUGGGGAAUUGAACCAACACAGAAUGUUCCUUGCAUAUACCAGUAGGAAAAACUGGUUAAUGACUAGGUGGGUUGGGUGGGCACUCAGAGCAGCUGUGUCAUCAGUAGUUCAAGGCAAUAUAAUAAUGAGUCUGUGUUCACUUCCAGGGACAUAAUGACUAAGAAUUGGCACCUGCCCUCAAGGAGCCCACAGUCUAGUAGGGAAGGCAGGCUCACAAAUGGAGUAACUUAACUGCUUUGCACAAGGUAGAGGCAGCACCUAGCAUAGAAGGGAUAAUGACCCCUCAGGGGUGGAGAGGGGUCAGAGAUGACAUUUCGGAGGAGGUAAGUUGUGAAGAAACAGCUCAAGUUUAUCAGCCCCAAAAGGGGAUUAGGGGACAGAUCCUGGUACCCAAUGAAAUGGUUCCCAUGUUUCACCUGUGUCACCAAUCUCACUAAGGGACCUUCCCCAACUUUCCGUGAGGGGCUCUGCCCAUGCAGACACAACCUAUGAGUACAAAGUCACAUUCUAAUCCACCAAUUCUCUCUCACAUUCUUUCAUAGGUCUCACAAGUAAACCAACAGCUGAAAUGCAGAUCUGGCUACAAGAAGUUAAAUCCCUUUAGGCCUUUCCAAAGUGGCUGAGCUGUAGCUGGCAGUGGAGUUUUUCUCUGGACUACGAAAUCACUGAGGGAAAAGGGGCUGGAGAAAACUGGAACCAGCUACAGGGCUGGGGGAGUGGAAUGAAAAGCAUGUUCCUUUCUAUUAAAAUCAGAUGUUACCAAAUUUCAUCUGUUUUCUUUCCAUGUACAGAAAUGCCCUUGAAACAUGUUUGAGACAUGUUUAGGAAAAAACACAUUAAGAUAUUUUUAUUCUUAUGAGAGUAUAACAUGGAGGGAUUUGAAGCCAUCUGCUAUCAAUAGUCAAUAUACAAAUCUUAUCUACUUGAUCUCUUAAAUGUUACCAAGUGGAACCACAUCCUGAUCAACAAAGAGUCUCAUCAUAUUAAGCAAAAUCAUCUUUAGCAGAGAGCAAUGUGCAGUUUCCUCUUGUUGCUCUAAAGGCAGUAGCAUGGGAUAUUAGUUACAGCAUUAGCAUAAUCCUGAGCUUACUUUAUUUUAAAAGCAUGGAACAAAUAUUUGAUGAUGCCUCAAGUUUUACCGAACUCAAGUUUUUCCAGCUGGCAAACCACAGGCUGAAAAGUUAAGUCAUAUAAGGCUUUAUAGAUCCAUGUACUAAAAAUAUUCCCAGCCAAUGGGUAAUUUUUAAAGCUGCUCUAAUCCUACCUGUAGGUGGAUAAAUUUUAAGUCUGAACAACAUUUUAAGGGGUAGGCUUUUUGUUAACCAUAGCCAAGAGGUAAAAACAGUCCAAACCCAAUUCUGGCAUUCAUUUCCAAGGUCAUGUUUGAAAUUAAAAUUUAUGUGUAUAAAAAGGAUUUACAAACUUAAGGCUGAACCCAAAAUGUGACAUUUUAGUUACCAUGACAAAUGACAAAUCUAGCCCUUUGACUUCACACUUAGCUGAAGUGCCUGCAGCUUACUGCAAGCUCAGCUCUGAGAGGAUGAGCGGAGAGUAGGCUUCAAAAGGUUCUGUGGUUUGGCUGUGGGGCCUGACCUCAGAAUCCACCUACUCAGAAAGGUCUGGAUCCUAGGAAUCUCUAAAGAGGCUCCAAAGAGGUGGCACGCACGCACCUAUAUUCUUUGGGGGUAGAGGGUUAUGAAGGAUAAAAAAGACAAAUUUAACUUGAACAACUAGAAAAUAAAUGGACUGAAAAGUAUGUUUAAACCCCUUGACAGAUCAAAAAUCUGUAAAAUAUAUAAUUAUCCUAAGUUAGGGGCUGAGUCUGUGAGAAGGCAAGGAAUACAGCUUCAAUGAUCUGGAGUAAGGAUGGAUGUUUACCUUGGGUAACUGUAACACAGUCAGCUUCUUACUGGGGGUGUCAUCAGAGAAGCCACAGUGACAGUAUUCACACUGCCUUGGCAUGGCAGAUAAAGGCAUACAUCCUGAGCUAGGUCACUUGACCCGUGACCCACUGAGCAUCCCACCUCUUCCCACCCUGGUGUCCUGCCAUGCCCUGCCCUGCGGUGUGCUCAACAAUCCCUCAGCCAGCCCUUCCCAGUUGGUCUGUAUAGGAACUAGUGAAGAUGGGACUUUAGAUGUCUAACUGCAAACAUCCUAGAGGCUUCCGACAGAUAUCACUUGUUCUUCUGUAGUAGCCCUGCUCAGGCAUCCAAUCCACCAUGGCUUUUAGAGGUAAAUACUUUGG